rnacentral:rRNA from 1 species
UAAGACGAACUGUGCAAACGUUAUUCGGAAUCACUGGGCUUGAAGAGUGCGUAGGCGGUUUUGUAAGUAGGGUGUGAAAGCCCCCGGCUCAACCGGGGAAUUGCGCCUUAAACUGCAAGGCUGGAGUGAGGUAGGGGUGUGUGGAACUUCCAGUGGAGCGGUGAAAUGUGUUGAUAUUGGAAGGAACGCCGGUGGCGAAAGCGACACACUGGACCUUGUCUGACGCUGAGGCACGAAAGCCAGGGGAGCAAACGGGAUUAGAUACCCCGGUAGUCCUGGCCGUAAACCAUGAGUACUAGUGGGGAGGAUCGCAAGGUCUUCCUCACGGAGCGAAAGUUUUAAGUACUCCGCCUGGGGAGUAUGGUCGCAAGGCUG